AUGCAGCGAUGCCGCGUGAGUGAAGAAGGCCUUUGGGUUGUAAAGCUCUUUUGUCGGGAAAGAAAAUGACUGUACCCGAAUAAGAAGGUCCGGCUAACUUCGUGCCAGCAGCCGCGGUAAUACGAAGGGACCUAGCGUAGUUCGGAAUUACUGGGCUUAAAGAGUUCGUAGGUGGUUGAAAAAGUUGGUGGUGAAAUCCCAGAGCUUAACUCUGGAACUGCCAUCAAAACUUUUCAGCUAGAGUAUGAUAGAGGAAAGCAGAAUUUCUAGUGUAGAGGUGAAAUUCGUAGAUAUUAGAAAGAAUACCGAUUGCGAAGGCAGCUUUCUGGAUCAUUACUGACACUGAGGAACGAAAGCAUGGGUAGCGAAGAGGAUUAGAUACUCUCGUAGUCCAUGCCGUAAACGAUGUGUGUUAGACGUUGGAAAUUUAUUUUCAGUGUCGCAGCGAAAGCGAUAAACACACCGCCUGGGGAGUACGACCGCAAGGUUA
rnacentral:rRNA from 1 species